GAUGAACGCUGGCGGCGUGCCUAAUACAUGCAAGUCGAGCGAACGGACGAGAAGCUUGCUUCUCUGAUGUUAGCGGCGGACGGGUGAGUAACACGUGGAUAACCUACCUAUAAGACUGGGAUAACUUCGGGAAACCGGAGCUAAUACCGGACAAUAUUUUGAACCUCAUGGUUCAAAAGUGAAAGACGGUCUUGCUGUCACUUAUAGAUGGAUCCGCGCUGCAUUAGCUAGUUGGUAAGGUAACGGCUUACCAAGGCAACGAUGCAUAGCCGACCUGAGAGGGUGAUCGGCCACACUGGAACUGAGACACGGUCCAGACUCCUACGGGAGGCAGCAGUAGGGAAUCUUCCGCAAUGGGCGAAAGCCUGACGGAGCAACGCCGCGUGAGUGAUGAAGGUCUUCGGAUCGUAAAACUCUGUUAUUAGGGAAGAACAUAUGUGUAAGUAACUGUGCACAUCUUGACGGUACCUAAUCAGAAAGCCACGGCUAACUACGUG
rnacentral:rRNA from 1 species